UACGGAGGGUGCAAGCGUUAUCCGGAUUCACUGGGUUUAAAGGGUGCGUAGGUGGGCAAGUAAGUCAGUGGUGAAAUCUCCGGGCUUAACCCGGAAACUGCCAUUGAUACUAUUUGUCUUGAAUACUGUGGAGGUCAGCGGAAUAUGUCAUGUAGCGGUGAAAUGCUUAGAUAUGACAUAGAACACCAAUUGCGAAGGCAGCUCGUUACACGAAUAUUGACUCUGAGGCACGAAAGCGUGGGGAUCAAACAGG
rnacentral:rRNA from 1 species